ensembl:lncRNA
CAGGUGGGGCGCCCCCUGCAGGCCUGUGGGACCUGUGGCCCUGAGGAGCACUGCAGCCUCAGCACCGGUCAUCCCGGCUGUGAGCGCUGCACCGUCUGCCCCGCCGGCUUCUUCAUGGUGGCCGAGUGCACCGUCCACGCUGACCGCAUCUGCCAGACCUCGCCCCAGGUCCCCCAGAUGGCCAUGACGGUGAAGGGUCCCAGAGAGCAGAAACGAGACUUCGUCUUCAGGGAGAGUGGCACGGCAAGCAUGGCACUGGACCUUAAACUCAUCCACUCCUGCAGCCUGCUGAAGGUGACCUUGCUCCGGCGGGGCGACCAAGAGAAGCGAGG